rnacentral:piRNA from 1 species
UGCUUAGCGUUCAUUAUUAAUAGUGAGCU